rnacentral:rRNA from 1 species
UACAGAGGUCUCAAGCGUUGUUCGGAUUCAUUGGGCGUAAAGGGUGCGUAGGUGGCGGGGUAAGUCAGGUGUGAAAUUUCGGAGCUCAACUCCGAAACUGCAUUUGAUACUGCCUUGCUUGAGGACUGGAGAGGAGACUGGAAUACUUGGUGUAGCAGUGAAAUGCGUAGAUAUCAAGUGGAACACCAGUGGCGAAGGCGAAUCCCUGGAAAAUACCUGACACUGAGGCACGAAAGCUAGGGGAGCAAACAGG